UACGAAGGGGCUAGCGUUGUUCGGAUUUACUGGGCGUAAAGCGCACGUAGGCGGAUCGUUAAGUCGGGGUGAAAUCCUGGAGCUCAACUCCAGAACUGCCUUCGAUACUGGCGAUCUUGAGUCCGGAAGAGGUGAGUGGAACUCCUAGUGUAGAGGUGGAAUUCGUAGAUAUUAGGAAGAACACCAGUGGCGAAGGCGGCUCACUGGUCCGGUACUGACGCUGAGGUGCGAAAGCGUGGGGAGCAACAGG
rnacentral:rRNA from 1 species